GGAUAUUAACAAGGGAAGUAAAGAGCACCUUAUUGUCUUGCUGUGACUGGGUGGAGUUGAAUGAACAGAUGUGAAAAUGCGUAAAUAGGUGUGAUUGUUGCGUUAAAGUUUUUGGGGUUUUUUUUUGGAAUUGUGUUGCUUCCACAGGGACUGGAUCACGGUGGGGACACAUGGAGUGAUUCACUUCCUCCCUGCGAGCUCCUGUCUUGGAGCUCCGGGGUGGCAAACCAGAACUGGGGCUUGUAGCCCAGGAGCCGCGGGGGUGUUGUAUGAAAUCUGUUCUUAGCGGGAUAGCAGCCCUGGUCUCAGAGCAGAGCCAAGGUUAUCUUUAGUGGUGAUCUUCUCUCUGUGCCUUUCCUCCCCCCUGGGCAACAAGAGCUGCUUGCGGGGGAGGGGUCGCUUUGGUGAGCUGGUAUGUGAUUCAGCGUUUGAAGUUGUUUGUUUUUUGGUUUUUUGGUUUUUUUAGAAGCAUUUUUUUUGCCCCACUGUGGUGGUGGUGAAACGUUUUCCUGGGAGAUCGUGCUCCCAGCGCUACUCCCUGCCGAGCUAUUAGGACGGAGGGGCAGGUCAGCCUCAGGAGUGCGUGGACUCCUGGAGCUCCGGCCGGCGGUGAGUCGGGCCGAACCCUGAUAAGAUCAGGGCACGGAGGGUGCCCUGAGGGGAUGAGUUCAGCUCGUCCCUCUUGAGUAAAGCAAGAGCAGGGGCCGCCUAGGUCUUGGUGCCCCUGGAUUGUUUAAACUUACUUUGGAGCUCUCAAGCCGCAGAGCUGUGUUUAGAUUGUUCUGGUGGCUGCAGGCAGGCUGGAUUGAACCACAGAUGCUGGUUCGGGUUCCCUGCUCCAGGCACAGGGGGAUCGGAGGAGCUCUCAGUGACUCCUGGAACCUCCUGAAGCUGUGCAACAGGCCGGGAACAUGCCCAAUGGUACUACUGAUAAUUAAGGCAGCGAGGCUGCAAUCUGGACCAAAGAGUGAAGUUGGAUUCACACCAGUAAGAUCAAAAGACCUGAGGACUGGACUAUAACACCCAAACUGAGUGAUACCAAAUGGACUCUUAAGCAGAGAUCAAGCGGUAAUGAACUGAGACAAUCCAAAUGAUCCAAGGGAUGAGCUAAGAAUCACGCCUAACUGAGAAGUAAGAGCAAGCCUGUAUCAGUAGUUUCAAGUCCUGCCUGGGACAAGUUCUGGGACACAUUCAAUAUCCACCUUGAGGGGGAAAAACUCCCACUCCAAACAGGAGGAUUGGGGCUGUGUUGGUUGGGAGAUCCUCAUAUUUUUUUGCUUUUGUCUGUAUUGUGUAUAAAGGAGGGGGAAAAAUCACAACUUCCAUCAGUGCCACAUCAUACACCUUGUCUAAAUCAUCCCAAUACGAGACAUGCUAUCUGGAUUAAAUACAAAUACUUAAAUUAGAGAAAAAUAGGUAUUGUGGUUCACAAAGUUAAGCCUCUC
rnacentral:lncRNA from 1 species